rnacentral:rRNA from 1 species
GAUGAACGCUGACAGAAUGCUUAACACAUGCAAGUCGACUCGAGUCUUCGGACUUGGGUGGCGGACGGGUGAGUAACGCGUAAAGAACUUGCCUCAUAGUCUGGGACAACAUCUGGAAACGGAUGCUAAUACCGGAUAUUAUGCUUUCUUCGCAUGGAGGAAGUAUGAAAGCUAUAUGCGCUAUGAGAGAGCUUUGCGUCCCAUUAGCUAGUUGGUGAGGUAACGGCCCACCAAGGCGAUGAUGGGUAGCCGGCCUGAGAGGGUGAACGGCCACAAGGGGACCGAGACACGGCCCUUACUCCUACGGGAGGCAGCAGUGGGGAAUAUUGGACAAUGGACCAAAAGUCUGAUCCAGCAAUUCUGUGUGCACGAUGACGUUUUUCGGAAUGUAAAGUGCUUUCAGUCGGGAAGAAGCAAGUGACGGUACCGACAGAAGAAGCGACGGCUAAAUACGUGCCAGCAGCCGCGGUAAUACGCAUGUCGCAAGCGUUAUCCGGAUUUAUUGGGCGUAAAGCGCGUCUAGGCGGCAAGGAAAGUCUGAUGUGAAAAUGCGGGGCUCAACUCCGUAUUGCGUUGGAAACUGCCUUACUAGAGUACUGGAGAGGUAGGCGGAACUACAAGUGUAGAGGUGAAAUUCGUAGAUAUUUGUAGGAAUGCCGAUGGGGAAGCCAGCCUACUGGACAGAUACUGACGCUAAAGCGCGAAAGCGUGGGUAGCAAACAGG